AAAUAGCCACUUCUUGAGCUUUAUAUUUCCUCAACCACAUUUCUAUUGAGAAAAAUCUGAAGUUGAAGGAGAGAGUGAGGUGAUAAUGGCAAGUAGAAGAGAAGUUUACUUUGUUUUCAUGAACUAUGAUCCAGAAUACGAGCGCCUUAAAUCCAACAGAACGAAGAAGGGAACACAAGAGCUUGAUCUGUACUUGUGCAAGAAACAUGAUGAGUUGUUAGAAAACACCCUUGAGCCAGGCAGCUACAACAAGACAAUGUCAUUAGUUAUUGUUGAUGGCUUUGCUGUAGAAAUGACAGAUCAUCAGGCUAAUCUGCUUCGAUCUGCAAAAGACGUGAGGGUUGUCGAGAAAAAUCAAGAGCUUGCAUAAUGCCGGCCAAGAUUAGGAGGAGGCGUGAUCCCCUACUGUUUGAGGCUGAGUUUGCUCAAUGAUUUCUUGCUAAAUGAAAUUUAGAAAACUAAGAGUAAAAUAAAAUUAAUAAAAAAAAAAAGUGGGGUGGAUCGGAGGCAAGAAUAUUGUGUAAGUAAAUGCUUCGUCUUAUGGUACGAAAGCAUAUAUGAAGUCAUUAUUGUACUUUAGAUAAUUAUUGUUCUCUCAAUAUAUAUCCCUACCCCGACCAUGUAUUUCACUUUUUACUUAGUACGUGAUAGAAAGUGUAAUUAAUGCCUCGUCUGAGUCCCAUUGAUCCAAUUCUGUCUUUUGAAAGGAUAAAAUAAUUA